rnacentral:misc_RNA from 1 species
AACUUUUGGCAAUGGAUCUCUUGGUUCUGGCAUCGAUGAAGAACGCAGCGAAAUGCGAUAAGUAGUGUGAAUUGCAGAAUUCAGUGAAUCAUCGAAUCCUUGAACGCACAUUGCACCCCUCGGUAUCCCGGGGGGCAUGCCUGUUCGAGCGUCAUUUCUACCACUCAAGCAUAGCUUGGUAUUGGGCACCGUUGCUUUUUAAAAGAUAAACGCGCCUUAAAUGUAGACGGCGGCAAACACUAGUUCCGAGCGUAGCAGUAAAACAUUUCGCUUUAGAGAAUUUAGUAUAUUGUCAACCGCAUAGUUUUUACUACAGUUUGACCUCGGAUCAGGCAGGGAUACCCGCUGAACUUAAGCAUAUCAAUAAGCGGAGGCU